ensembl:Y_RNA Y_RNA Y RNA
GGCGGGUCCAAUGGUAGUGGGUUAUCAGAACUUAUUAACAUCAGUGUCACUAAAGUUGGUAUAAAACCCCCCACUGCUAAAUUUGACUGGAUUUUA